AGAGUUUGAUCCUGGCUCAGGAUGAACGCUAGCGGCAGGCUUAACACAUGCAAGUCGAGGGGCAGCGCGAGGUAGCAAUACUUUGGCGGCGACCGGCGAAAGGGUGAGUAACGCGUGAGCAACAUGCCCGAUAGUGGAGGAUAGUCGAUGGAAACGUCGUGUAAUACUCCGUAACAACAGAGGCCGCAUGACCUUUGUUUAAUAGAUUUAUCGCUAUCGGAUUGGCUCGCGUCCCAUUAGGCAGUUGGCGGGGUAACGGCCCACCAAACCGACGAUGGGUAGGGGUUCUGAGAGGAAGGUCCCCCACAUUGGAACUGAGACACGGUCCAGACUCCUACGGGAGGCAGCAGUGAGGAAUAUUGGACAAUGGCCGAGAGGCUGAUCCAGCCAUGCCGCGUGCGGGAAGACGGCCCUAUGGGUUGUAAACCGCUUUUGUUGGAGAGCAAUAAGAGUCACGUGUGACUUGAUGAGAGUAUCCAGCGAAUAAGCAUCGGCUAACUCCGUGCCAGCAGCCGCGGUAAUACGGAGGAUGCAAGCGUUAUCCGGAUUUAUUGGGUUUAAAGGGUGCGUAGGCGGAUGAUUAAGCGUGAGGUGAAAUGCCACAGCUCAACUGUGGAACUGCCUCGCGAACUGGUUGUCUGGAAUGCCCCUGCCGUGGGAGGAAUGUGUGGUGUAGCGGUGAAAUGCAUAGAGAUCACACAGAACACCGAUUGCGAAGGCAUCUCACGAAGGGGUGAUUGACGCUGAGGCACGAAAGCGUGGGGAUCAAACAGGAUUAGAUACCCUGGUAGUCCACGCAGUAAACGAUGAUAACUAACCGCUGGGUGUUCGCAUUCAGUGGCCAAGCGAAAGCGAUAAGUUAUCCACCUGGGGAGUACGACCGCAAGGUUGAAACUCAAAGGAAUUGACAGGGGCCCGCACAAGCGGAGGAACAUGUGGUUUAAUUCGAUGAUACGCGAGGAACCUUACCCGGGCUCGAACGGCUGGUGAAGAGAUCCAGAGAUGGUGACGUCCUUCGGGACACCAGUCGAGGUGCUGCAUGGUUGUCGUCAGCUCGUGCCGUGAGGUGUCGGCUCAAGUGCCAUAACGAGCGCAACCCUUGCCGUCAGUUACCAGCACGUAGAGGUGGGGACUCUGGCGGGACUGCCACCGCAAGGUGAGAGGAAGGGGGGGAUGACGUCAAAUCAGCACGGCCCUUACGUCCGGGGCGACACACGUGUUACAAUGGGCGCUACAGAGGGAAUCUACUUGGUGACAAGAUGGUAAUCUCGAAAAGCGCUCUCAGUCCGGAUCGGAGUCUGCAACUCGACUCCGUGAAGCUGGAUUCGCUAGUAAUCGCGCAUCAGCCAUGGCGCGGUGAAUACGUUCCCGGGCCUUGUACACACCGCCCGUCAAGCCAUGAAAGUCUGGGGCGCCUGAAGUCCGUGACCGAAAGGAGCGGCCUAGGGCGAAAACAGGUAAUUGGGGCUAAGUCGUAACAAGGUAGCCGUAUCCGGAAGGUGUGGCUGGAUCACCUCCUUUCU
rnacentral:rRNA from 1 species